rnacentral:rRNA from 1 species
ACAACGCUGGCGGCGUGCUUAACACAUGCAAGUCGAACGGAAAGGCCCUGCUUUUGUGGGGUGCUCGAGUGGCGAACGGGUGAGUAACACGUGAGUAACCUGCCCUUGACUUUGGGGAUAACUCCAGGAAAACUGGGGCUAAUACCGGAUAGGAGCUCCUGCUGCAUGGUGGGGGCUGGAAAGUUUCGGCGGUUGGGGAUGGACUCGCGGCUUAUCAGCUUGUUGGUGGGGUAGUGGCUUACCAAGGCUUUGACGGGUAGCCGGCCUGAGAGGGUGACCGGCCACAUUGGGACUGAGAUACGGCCCAGACUCCUACGGGAGGCAGCAGUGGGGAAUAUUGCACAAUGGGCGGAAGCCUGAUGCAGCAACGCCGCGUGCGGGAUGACGGCCUUCGGGUUGUAAACCGCUUUCGCCUGUGACGAAGCGUGAGUGACGGUAAUGGGUAAAGAAGCACCGGCUAACUACGUG